rnacentral:tRNA from 1 species
GAUUCCGUGGUGUAGCGUAUAUCACGUCUGCUUCACACGCAGAAGGUCUGGUUCGAUCCCGGGCGGAAUCA